rnacentral:tRNA from 1 species
AUGUAAAUGGUUAAGUAGUUGUAGGACAGGUUUUUAACCUGUCAAUAUAGUUUUAUUUAACAGGUUACAAACCUGUCCUACAUA